GGCCUUCCCUUUGCUCACCAAAGGCAGGGGCCAUUCAGGCUAGGGAGGGGGAAGAAACCCCGUUGCAUAGCAAAGACAGGCAGAGGGUGAAUCGCUGACUGGGGGAAACAGGCACCAAAAGGCAAGAGAAAGGGACUGCUCAGCCUGGAGAAAACAUGACUCAGAGGGGUCUCAGCAAUGUUCAGAAAUACCUGAAGGGUGUAAAGACAACUGAGCCAGAAUCUUCCCAGUGGUGUCCAGUGACAAGAGGCAAUGGCACAAAUUCAAACACAAUAAAUUCUGUCUGAA